rnacentral:rRNA from 1 species
AAGCUUGGGGACCAACCAGGGAUUAGUACCUUGGUAGUCCACGGCCGUAACGGAUGUCGAUUAGGAUGUGGUGCCCUUGAGCCGUGGCUUCCGGAGUUAACGCGUUAAGUCGUCCGCCUGGGGAGUACGGCCGCAAGGUUAAAACUCAAAUGAAUUGACGGGGGCCCGCACAAGCGGUGGAGCAUGUGGUUUAAUUCGAUGCAACGCGAAGAACCUUACCUGGUCUUGACAUCCACAGAACUUUCCAGAGAUGGAUUGGUGCCUUCGGGAACUGUGAGACAGGUGCUGCAUGGCUGUCGUCAGCUCGUGUUGUGAAAUGUUGGGUUAAGUCCCGCAACGAGCGCAACCCUUAUCCUUUGUUGCCAGCGGUCCGGCCGGGAACUCAAAGGAGACUGCCAGUGAUAAACUGGAGGAAGGUGGGGAUGACGUCAAGUCAUCAUGGCCCUUACGACCAGGGCUACACACGUGCUCCAAUGGCGCAUACAAAGAGAAGAGACCUCGCGAGAGCAAGCGGUCUUCAUAAACUGUUUUGUAGUCCGGAUUGGAGUUUGCAAUUGCACUCCAUGAAGUGGGAUUCGUUAGUAAUCGUAGAUCAGAAUGCUACGGUGAAUAGUUUCCCGGCCUUUAACACACCGCCGGUCACACCAUGGGAGUGGGACACAAAAAAGUAGGGAGGUAACCCUUCGGGACCACCCUCCCACUUGAUCCGAUUGGG